GGGGGCGACCAGCUUCGACGUGGGUUGCGAAGCUUCAGUGGCGUACCGAGGUGCAUGGGUCCUCGUAAAACUCUUGUGCAAAUCUUAGUUGCCAACGACGACAACUACGCUCUGGCGGCUUAAUCCCGCCUAACCUCCGACCCGCUGGUGCCUGUGCCACGGACCCGGGGGACGCGCUCACAGGAUCGCUAUGUACCGUGCUACGGGAUGCAUAGUUAAGAGACACCGUUAGCUGGCCAAGCGUCUUCCCUGCUGCUCGGGUAGCGUGAGGUGAGAACCCAAAGAGACAGCUACGUACGUAGAAGCUGAAGUGUAGUGCUUGCGGACGCGGGUGCGAUUGAUGCGAAAAGCAAUGGUCGCCUUCACCCGAGAGGGUGAAGUGAAAACGGGGCUCAUUCGGUGAACCCUGCGCCAUCGGCAACGAUGGCAUGGCAACGCCGAGGGGUGGAGCAAGGCCAACUUGCCCUGCCCUGUAGAGACUCAUGGACUGGCUGAUGCUGCCUUCGGGCAGAGCGAGCCGGCCCCAGGAUUCGUGCCGAAAGACACGAAUAACACGCCCCGCAUCCGGCAACGGAUGAAGGCAUAGUCCAGGCCAUUCCGAAAGGAAUGGGGGUAACUGUCCCGCCGCCUCCACCA
rnacentral:tmRNA from 1 species